AUGUUGCUCUGUGUGUGCUCACUGCUCAUUGAUUGUCUGUAUUGUAAUUGUUUUUAAUAACCUGCCCAGGGACUGCGGUUGAAAAUUAGCCGGCUGGCUAAAACCGUCACUUUUACUGAAACAUAGAUGAAUGUGUACUGCCCCCGUAAAAAUAAAAUAAACUCAAACAUCUCCUUACCCAACCAUCAACAUUACCACAACAUAGUGAGUGCCACUGUGGAAAAUAAAUAUAGCUCCAUGUUGGAUAUUUUUGCACUCAGAGAAACAAGGUCAUAAACAGCAUGUGACAUAUCAGUCUUGGUAUAUUAGUCUCAUGUUGAUAUUGUAAAAUUGUUAUUUUGUUAAUUUUCAUACUGGCAUAUUUUGAAAAACACCUGAACAAAUGGCCAUUAACUUUCAUAGUGGGGAAAAUUGGUUUCCAUGACGGCCUAGUGAUUGAGUAACAAUACCCAUACUGUUUAUCAGUAACUAUGUCCUGACACGCUAUGGGAAGUUCAUUCUUAACUGAUGUUGCUUGGCAAGCAAAUCACAAUAAUCCUCUAAGAACCAAUCAGCAAAGGCCUGUCAACUAAACCCCUGAGAGGCCAUUAUAGAAAAUAGAAUCCCUAGAAUGGGGAAGGCCCUCAGACCCAUUAACUUGAAUCGGAAUGUCCAUUCUAGGGAUUAUAUUUCUAUGGUUACACAGGAAACCAGGGGGACCUGCUUCCACAACAGUCCUGGAGGUUUUAAGGUAAAGGUCAGCUUGGUAAUAACUUCAGAUGCUUUUCAGACUUCAUCAACAACCAACAACCUCAACAGGACGUCUGUUUUAAUCAGUCUCCCACUGGACUGAACCAUGGGGUGUAACACCAGCAGGGAUGCUGUCGUGGUAGACCCUUCUAAAAAGCCAGAGACCAGACCAGCGUCGGCCAGCUCGACCAGUAAGGCCACCGCUGAGGAGACUAAAGAAACUACAGAGAAAGAGAAAGAUGAAACAGAAGGCAUAUCAAGCUGCGACUGACCUCCAUCUUUCUUAACCCAAACUCCUCAAAAUUGGCCUGUCUGCAGGUGAAGGAGAUGGUCUCUCUCUGUCUCUCUCUCUCUCUGUGUGUGUGCGUGUGUGUGUGUGUGUACAGAUUGGCCUGUCUGCAGGUGGAGGACCUGCCUGCAGAGGAAGGCAAUGCUGCACAACUGUCCAUCAACCCCUGUGUCAUCUGGGACCAGACCAGCCACACAUCCCGCUCCACUCUGUGAUGUAACCUACCAGCCACACGCUCCGCUCCACUCUGUGAUGUAACCUACCAGCCACACGCCCCGCUCCAUUCUGUGAUGUAGAGCCAAACACUCUGCUCUGUGAUGUAGACCUACCAGCCACAGGUUCCUUACUCUGUCUACUGUUGCUGGUCCAGAACACUCUCUCUCUCUCAAUCUCUCAACUGGACCUUCAGUGUCCACAGUGCCAUGUUUAUAUCCUGUUAAUGUGCCAGUAUGGUCAUUGUAACAACAAUGAGACAUGGUAGUAAAUGUAUAGAUUCAA